rnacentral:rRNA from 1 species
UACGUAGGGAGCAAGCGUUGUCCGGAAUCAUUGGGCGUAAAGCGCGCGUAGGCGGCCCGAUAAGUCCGCUGUAAAAGUCAACGGCUCAACUGUUGAAAGCCGGUGGAUACUGUCGGGCUAGAGUACGGAAGAGGCAAGUGGAAUUCCUGGUGUACGGUGGAAUGCGCAGAUAUCAGGAGGAACACCCAUAGCGAAGGCAGCUUGCUGGGACGUUACUGACGCUAAGGCGCGAAAGCGUGGGGAGCGAACAGG